GACGAACGCUGGCGGCGUGCUUAACACAUGCAAGUCGAACGGAAAGGCCCUGCUUGCAUGGUCCUCGAGUGGCGAACUGGUGAGUAACACGUGGGUGCUCUGCCCUGCACUUUUGGGUAAGCUUGGGCAACUGGGUCUAUUACCGGAUAGGACCUCCCUUUUGUGUGUGUGGUGGAAAGUUUUUUCGGGGUAGGAUGAUUUCGCGGGCUAUCAGCUUGUUGGUGGGGUAAUGGCCUACCAAGGCGGCGACGGGUAGCCGGCCUGGGGGGGUGUACGGCCACAUUGGGACUGAGAGAAGGCCCAGACGCCGACGGGAGGAAGAAGGGGGGAAGAUUGAACAAGGGGCGCAAGCCGGAUGCAGAGACGCCGCGGGGGGGAUGAAGGCCUUGGGGUUGAAAAAUCGUUUCGCUAGGGAAGAAGCUUUUUGUGACGGUACCUAGAGAAGAAGCACCGGCUAACUACGUG
rnacentral:rRNA from 1 species